GACGGAGGAUGCAAGCGUUAUCCGGAAUGAUUGGGCGUAAAGCGUCCGCAGGUGGCAGUUCAAGUCUGCUGUCAAAGACCGGGGCUUAACUUCGGAAAGGCAGUGGAAACUGAACAGCUAGAGUAUGGUAGGGGGAAGCGGAAUUCCCGGUGUAGUGGUGGAAUGCGUAGAGAUCCGGAAGAACACCGGAGGCGAAGGCGGCUUGCUGGGCUUGGUCUGACGCUGAGGCGCGAAAGCGUGGGGAGCGAACAGG
rnacentral:rRNA from 1 species